CACGUAGGGGGCAAGCGUUGUCCGGAUUUAUUGGGCGUAAAGAGCUCGUAGGCGGCUUAGUAAGUCGGGUGUGAAACCUCCAGGCUCAACCUGGAGACGCCACCCGAUACUGCUGUGGCUAGAGUCCGGUAGGGGAGCGUGGAAUUCCUGGUGUAGCGGUGAAAUGCGUAGAUAUCUGGAGGAACACCGGUGGCGAAGGCGGCAUCCUGGACCGGUAUUGACGCUGAGGCGCGAAAGCCAGGGGAGCAAACGGG
rnacentral:rRNA from 1 species